rnacentral:rRNA from 1 species
UACGUAGGGUGCGAGCGUUAAUCGGAAUUACUGGGCGUAAAGCGUGCGCAGGCGGUUUACUAAGACAGGUGUGAAAUCCCCGGGCUUAACCUGGGAAUGGCGCUUGUGACUGGUAGGCUAGAGUACGUCAGAGGGGGGUGGAAUUCCACGUGUAGCAGUGAAAUGCGUAGAGAUGUGGAGGAACACCGGUGGCGAAGGCGGCUCACUGGCUCGUAACUGACGCUCAGGCGCGACAGCGUGGGGAUCAAACAGG